GUUGGCUUGGAAGCAGCCAUUCAUUUAAAGAGUGCGUAACAGCUCACUAGUCGAGCGGUUCGGCAUGGAUAAUAAUCGGGCAUAAGCAUAUUACCGAAGCUAUGGCAACGAAAGUUGGGUAGGGGAGCAUUCUAUCGGCGCAGAAGCAUCACUGUGAGGUGAUGUGGAGCUUAUAGAAAAGAAAAUGUAGGCAUAAGUAACGAUAAAGCAGGCGAGAAACCUGCUCACCGAAAGACUAAGGGUUCCUCAGCCAUGCUAAUCAGCUGAGGGUUAGUCGGGACCUAACGCGAACCCGAGAGGGGAAGUGGAUGGACAAUGGGUUAAUAUUCCCAUACUUGCUCACGAAUAAAGGGGACGGUUCAGCCAGACUACUGGAGACUGACGGAAUAGUCAAGACCUAGCCUACGGGCGAAGUUGUUGUAGAGUAACUGGAUCCAAGAAAAGCCGAAGUGAAGCAACCCGUACCAUAAACCGACACAGGUAGUCGAGGAGAGAAUCCUAAGGUGCUCGAGUGAGUCGUGGCUAAGGAACUAGGCAAAAUAGUCUCGUAACUUCGGAAUAAGAGACGCCAACAGCGAUGUUGGCCGCAGUGAAGAGGCCCAGGCGACUGUUUAUCAAAAACACAGGACUCUGCUAAAUCGAAAGAUGCUGUAUAGGGUCUGACACCUGCCCGGUGCUGGAAGGUUAAGGAAGGUGCUUAGCGUAAGCGAAGGCAUUGACUGAAGCCCCAGUAAACGGCGGCCGUAACUAUAACGGUCCUAAGGUAGCGAAAUUCCUUGUCGGGUAAGUUCCGACCUGCACGAAUGGUGUAACGAUCUGGGCACUGUCUCAGCCACGAGCUCGGUGAAAUUGUAGUAUCGGUGAAGAUGCCGAUUACCCGCAAUGGGACGAAAAGACCCUGUGAACCUUUACUAUAACUUCGUAUUGACUUUGAGUAAGUAAUGUGUAGGAUAGGUGGGAGGCUAUGAAGCUGGCACGCUAGUGUUGGUGGAGCCGUUGUUGAAAUACCACCCUUUGCUUACUUGGAGCCUAACUUCUGAACAAGAGUAAGAAGGACAUUGCGUGGUGGGUAGUUUGACUGGGGUGGUCGCCUCCAAAAGAGUAACGGAGGCUUUCAAAGGUGCCCUCAGCACGCUUGGUAACCGUGCGUAGAGUGUAAUGGCAUAAGGGUGCUUGACUGUGAGACCUACAAGUCGAUCAGGUGCGAAAGCAGGACAUAGUGAUCCGGUGGUUCCGUAUGGAAGGGCCAUCGCUCAUAGGAUAAAAGGUACUCCGGGGAUAACAGGCUAGUCUCCCCCAAGAGCUCACAUCGACGGGGAGGUUCGGCACCUCGAUGUCGGCUCGUCACAUCCUGGGGCUGGAGAAGGUCCCAAGGGUUG
rnacentral:rRNA from 1 species